UACAGCGGGUGCGAGCGUUGUCCGGAAUCACUGGGCGUAAAGGGCGCGUAGGUGGUGGCUUAAGCGUGCGGUGAAAGCUCGGGGCUCAACUCCGAGUCGGCCGUGCGAACUGGGCUCACUGGAGCAUAGUAGAGGCAGGUGGAAUUCCGGGUGUAGCGGUGGAAUGCGUAGAGAUCCGGAAGAACACCGGUGGCGAAGGCGGCCUGCUGGGCUAUGGCUGACACUGAGGCGCGACAGCGUGGGGAGCAAACAGG
rnacentral:rRNA from 1 species